rnacentral:rRNA from 1 species
GAUGAACGCUGGCGGCGUGCCUAAUACAUGCAAGUCGAGCGAACAGACGAGGAGCUUGCUCCUCUGACGUUAGCGGCGGAAGGGUGAGUAACACGUGGAUAACCUACCUAUAAGACUGGGAUAACUUCGGGAAACCGGAGCUAAUACCGGAUAAUAUAUUGAACCGCAUGGUUCAAUAGUGAAAGACGGUUUUGCUGUCACUUAUAGAUGGAUCCGCGCCGCAUUAGCUAGUUGGUAAGGUAACGGCUUACCAAGGCAACGAUGCGUAGCCGACCUGAGAGGGUGAUCGGCCACACGGGAACGGAGACACGGUCCAGACUCCUGCGGGAGGCAGCAGUAGGGAAUCUUCCGCAAUGGGCGAAAGCCUGACGGAGCAACGCCGCGUGAGGGAUGAAGUUCUUCGGAUCGUAAAACUCUGUUAUUAGGGAAGAACAAAUGUGUAAGUAACUAUGCACGUCUUGACGGUACCUAGUCAGAAGGCCACGGCUAACUACGUG